rnacentral:rRNA from 1 species
UACAGAGGGGGCAAGCGUUGUUCGGAAUUACUGGGCGUAAAGGGCGCGUAGGCGGCCCUCUAAGUCAGACGUGAAAUCCCUCGGCUCAACCGAGGAACUGCGUCCGAUACUGGCAGGCUGGAAUCCGGGAGAGGGAUGUGGAAUUCCAGGUGUAGCGGUGAAAUGCGUAGAUAUCUGGAGGAACACCGGUGGCGAAGGCGGCAUCCUGGACCGGUAUUGACGCUGAGGCGCGAAAGCUAGGGGAGCAAACGGG